AGCUUUGCACAGUGGCCAUAUCAUAACCAGUCAGGUUUAUCCGAGGCAUAAUUAUUGAUAUUUGAAAACUAUUUAAAGUUUGCUAGUCACCAUAUUUGAGAUGUUAACUUAAU
rnacentral:snRNA from 1 species